CAAUAGCGUAUAUUAAAGUUGUUGCAGUUAAAAAGCUCGUAGUUGGAUUUGUGGCGUACGGUGUGUUCCGGGCACUUGUUGUCUGAGUAACCUGCUGUUGCCAUCCUUGGGUGGAACCUGUGUGGCAUUAGGUUGUCAUGCAGGGGAUGCCCAUCAUUUACUGUGAAAAAAUUAGAGUGUUCAAAGCAGGCUUAUGCCGUUGAAUAUAUUAGCAUGGAAUAAUGAGAUAGGACUUUUUUGCUAUUUUGUUGGUUUGCGCAAAGAGGUAAUGAUUAAUAGGGACAGUUGGGGGUAUUCGUAUUCCAUUGUCAGAGGUGAAAUUCUUGGAUUUUUGGAAGACGAACUACUGCGAAAGCAUUUACCAAGGAUGUUUUCAUUAA
rnacentral:rRNA from 1 species